AGUGAUGUUGGUUAUUGCAGAUCCCCUUCAUAUUGCAGGUCUCAGGAAGGCAGACGUGUGACAAGACAGACAGACUGACACACUUCUUGUGGAUGCAGAUCUUUCCUGGGCCACACACAGUACCAUCUUUCACGUCACCAAUGUCAGAUUGGCUAUGUGGAUGCUGGAAGAUGGGGAAAACUUGUUUCAAUCUGAACAUUAUCCUUGCCAUCAACUUGCCUAAAGAGGCUGGAUUCAUCUGGGUGGUUUUCACUGUUGCAAGUUAGGCACCUUAUUCCAUGAGGUGCAAGUAGCAUGGAAGAGAAAAGCAAAGUUCAUAGACAAAACUUCCAAGAACAAAGAUCUCUGAAUUGGGAGGAAAUUCUAACUGCCAGAUUUGCUCUCGGUAUUUCUCUUGAUAUGUUUUCUGCUUAUUAUGGAGUGACAGUUGUUGUGGUUGGGAAGAUUGAAAAUGGGAAGCACUAAUCAAAGAUAUAAUGUUGUGGAAAGGACUGAUAAGCUGCACAAACUCGUAUCAUAUUAUUCUUUUUCUUGGAGCUCAGCAUGAGAGCAGGCAAUAACAGGAGAAUAACUUCAAAAAUAUCUGUAAGCCAGAUUCAUUGUCUUCAUUCCUAGGACUUACAGAGACCAAAGCUCCUGAAGUACCAUCAUUCUACCAGGGAUACUGUGAGGUGGUCCCACUCUAAAUCCAUGUCCUCUAACAUCAGUGGACUGUCAAGUGAGCCAACAGCCAACUUAUUCAUGUUUGAUAAACUCUUCCUUUCCCCACAGCUAUUUCAAAUUCAUCAAGAUCCCUCUCUACCCAUCUUCCCUCUUAUUCCAAUGCCCUAAUGCACUGUUUUCCUAUCUGUCUGUCACUAGUAUCUGUCCCAUUAGAGUCAUGGAAGUAAUUCAGCUGGUUAUAGCCUGCAGGUUUUUUUCCUUAACGAAAUAGAACAGAAAUAUCAGAAGGCAUCCCUAGAAGAUCCUUAGCAACUCUUGAAUACACAGUGCCAAAUAUUUGGGUUUAAGUGUGUGGAAGGCCACAAUGUCACAAUAUAAAAUGGAUUUCUUUCUCUGGAGUAUGAGAGAGAUAUAUAUACCAAAUUCAAAGACAAAAUGGUUUCUAGGCCUUUUACCGUCUGAAUCCACCUACGUCUACCUCUUCUCUACCUUACUCCCUCUCUAGUCUCAUUAGCCCCUCAUAGUUCCAGAUCAUCUCUCCCACCUACUUGAGGAUUGUUUCUAUCAAUUUUCCCUACUCUCAACUGCAUCUUCAUCUUCUACUACUUUUUCUAUUCCUUACUGGCAAUUGGGGUGACUACCUCAUCCUGAUUUUCCCAGGACAGUCCUGGUUUUAAAACUGAAAGUCCUGCACCCAGCAAUCCCCUCAGUCCCAACCCAACUGGAAUAGUUCAUCACCCUACCUACACCCAUGCUCAAGUCACUCAUAUCUUUAAAAAUGAAAACAAAACAAAAAUUCAGAGACUUCACAGCAUCCAGUGGACUACUCUGGAUACCAAAUUAUGCAUAGAACCAAACUUGAUGACUUACCAUCAGAAGAAACAGUAGUUUCCAUGGCCAUUUCUGUGUAGAUGGUUUAUACCACCCUUUAUCAAUGGUUUGUAGCUGAGGUCACAGAACAAAGGGAAACAUAGGCCCUCUCCCUUUUGUCUCUCAGGUGACUAAAUUCUAGAUUUAGCUACUUAGCAACAAGGAACUUUCAAUUCUACAGAAAUAAUAAUAGACUCUCAAGAAUAUCUUGCUCUCAUCCUGCUAUUUCUAUACUCAUUUCCAAAUUCAAUCCAGUUGGAAUUGGGUUGUCUCCUCACCUCCAGUCUAUGAACCCUGACAGCACAGGUUUAUAAUUUUGCUCAUGCCAUUGCAUUGGUCUAGACUGUCUAAUCACUUUUCCCAUUGAACUGAAUUACAGUAACUUUCUAGGGCAAGAUCAAAUUCCACUUCCAUUAUCAAAUCUUUCCUAAAUAAUCCAGAAAACAUUAACAUCCUGUAACUCUCUUUAUAACUAUAACAUGCAACACAUUUUUGUGUGACAAAAUUUAUAUCCUUGCAUUUUCUGUUUUAUACGUGAGUUUUAAAAAUUGCAUCUCCUAUUAGACUAUAAUGUUUUGGAGAAAAAUAUGCUCAAAAUGGUUGGUGGAGAAUUUAUGGUAAAGUGUUUGUUAAAAUAUAUAAUCAAUAAGGUGAG